rnacentral:lncRNA from 1 species
UGCAACAGAAAACCACAAGUUAUGAGCCUAAUUGUUUCAGAAAACCCAAAUGACCCGGUUUUGUCAAUUUGACAGCAAAUCCGACAGGGACGGCCCACAGCUCAGACGCCACGUCCGACAAACUCUUUUUUCCCCAGCUCCUCAUCCAAGUCUAUAUUUGCACCCAACAACAAAUAACAUUUUCCCCGGAAAAAAACAACAAAUAGCAUAAAAAAACAGAAAAUUACCUGGCUGCCUCGGUGCCUCCAUACCGGCG